ACUUUGGCAGCACAUAUGGUAACUGGUAACAUCAGUCUGAUACAGAGAAGAUCAGUGCGGCCCAUGCACAACGAUGACAUGCAAAUUCAGGAAGCGUUCUGUGCUUUU
ensembl:snRNA U6 U6 spliceosomal RNA